GGGUUGUGAGGUUAAGCGACUAAGCGUACACGGUGGAUGCCCUGGCAGUCAGAGGCGAUGAAGGACGUGCUAAUCUGCGAUAAGCGCCGGUAAGGUGAUAUGAACCGUUAUAACCGGCGAUUUCCGAAUGGGGAAACCCAGUGUGAUUCGUCACACUAUCAUUAACUGAAUCCAUAGGUUAAUGAGGCGAACCGGGGGAACUGAAACAUCUAAGUACCCCGAGGAAAAGAAAUCAACCGAGAUUCCCCCAGUAGCGGCGAGCGAACGGGGAGGAGCCCAGAGCCUGAAUCAGCAUGUGUGUUAGUGGAAGCGUCUGGAAAGGCGCGCGAUACAGGGUGACAGCCCCGUACACAAAAGCGCAUGUGCUGUGAGCUCGAUGAGUAGGGCGGGACACGUGGUAUCCUGUCUGAAUAUGGGGGGACCAUCCUCCAAGGCUAAAUACUCCUGACUGACCGAUAGUGAACCAGUACCGUGAGGGAAAGGCGAAAAGAACCCCGGCGAGGGGAGUGAAAAAGAACCUGAAACCGUGUACGUACAAGCAGUGGGAGCACCCUUCGGGGUGUGACUGCGUACCUUUUGUAUAAUGGGUCAGCGACUUAUAUUCUGUAGCAAGGUUAACCGUAUAGGGGAGCCGGAGGGAAACCGAGUCUUAAUUGGGCGUUAAGUUGCAGGGUAUAGACCCGAAACCCGGUGAUCUAGCCAUGGGCAGGUUGAAGGUUGGGUAACACUAACUGGAGGACCGAACCGACUAAUGUUGAAAAAUUAGCGGAUGACCUGUGGCUGGGGGUGAAAGGCCAAUCAAACCGGGAGAUAGCUGGUUCUCCCCGAAAGCUAUUUAGGUAGCGCCUCGUGAAUUCAUCUCCGGGGGUAGAGCACUGUUUCGGCUAGGGGGCCAUCCCGGCUUACCAACCCGAUGCAAACUGCGAAUACCGGAGAAUGUUAUCACGGGAGACACACGGCGGGUGCUAACGUCCGUCGUGAAGAGGGAAACAACCCAGACCGCCAGCUAAGGUCCCAAAGUCAUGGUUAAGUGGGAAACGAUGUGGGAAGGCCCAGACAGCCAGGAUGUUGGCUUAGAAGCAGCCAUCAUUUAAAGAAAGCGUAAUAGCUCACUGGUCGAGUCGGCCUGCGCGGAAGAUGUAACGGGGCUAAACCAUGCACCGAAGCUGCGGCAGCGAACGUAUCACCCAAGACAACUUUACGGAGUUGACGAUUGACGGAGCGAAGCGACGUCAAAGCGUUCAUUAAAGUCGAGUUGGCUUAGGGAUACGUUCGUUGGGUAGGGGAGCGUUCUGUAAGCCUGUGAAGGUGUGUCGUGAGGCAUGCUGGAGGUAUCAGAAGUGCGAAUGCUGACAUAAGUAACGAUAAAGCGGGUGAAAAGCCCGCUCGCCGGAAGACCAAGGGUUCCUGUCCAACGUUAAUCGGGGCAGGGUGAGUCGACCCCUAAGGCGAGGCCGAAAGGCGUAGUCGAUGGGAAACGGGUUAAUAUUCCCGUACUUGGUGUUACUGCGAAGGGGGGACGGAGAAGGCUAUGUUGGCCGGGCGACGGUUGUCCCGGUUUAAGCGUGUAGGUGUGUGUUCCAGGUAAAUCCGGUUCACUUUAACACUGAGGCGUGACGACGAGGCACUACGGUGCUGAAGCAACAAAUGCCCUGCUUCCAGGAAAAGCCUCUAAGCAUCAGGUAACAUCAAAUCGUACCCCAAACCGACACAGGUGGUCAGGUAGAGAAUACCAAGGCGCUUGAGAGAACUCGGGUGAAGGAACUAGGCAAAAUGGUGCCGUAACUUCGGGAGAAGGCACGCUGACACGUAGGUGAAGUGAUUUACUCAUGGAGCUGAAGUCAGUCGAAGAUACCAGCUGGCUGCAACUGUUUAUUAAAAACACAGCACUGUGCAAACACGAAAGUGGACGUAUACGGUGUGACGCCUGCCCGGUGCCGGAAGGUUAAUUGAUGGGGUCAGCGCAAGCGAAGCUCCUGAUCGAAGCCCCGGUAAACGGCGGCCGUAACUAUAACGGUCCUAAGGUAGCGAAAUUCCUUGUCGGGUAAGUUCCGACCUGCACGAAUGGCGUAAUGAUGGCCAGGCUGUCUCCACCCGAGACUCAGUGAAAUUGAACUCGCUGUGAAGAUGCAGUGUACCCGCGGCAAGACGGAAAGACCCCGUGAACCUUUACUAUAGCUUGACACUGAACAUUGAGCCUUGAUGUGUAGGAUAGGUGGGAGGCUUUGAAGUGUGGACGCCAGUCUGCAUGGAGCCGACCUUGAAAUACCACCCUUUAAUGUUUGAUGUUCUAACGUGGACCCGUAAUCCGGGUUGCGGACAGUGUCUGGUGGGUAGUUUGACUGGGGCGGUCUCCUCCUAAAGAGUAACGGAGGAGCACGAAGGUUGGCUAAUCCUGGUCGGACAUCAGGAGGUUAGUGCAAUGGCAUAAGCCAGCUUGACUGCGAGCGUGACGGCGCGAGCAGGUGCGAAAGCAGGUCAUAGUGAUCCGGUGGUUCUGAAUGGAAGGGCCAUCGCUCAACGGAUAAAAGGUACUCCGGGGAUAACAGGCUGAUACCGCCCAAGAGUUCAUAUCGACGGCGGUGUUUGGCACCUCGAUGUCGGCUCAUCACAUCCUGGGGCUGAAGUAGGUCCCAAGGGUAUGGCUGUUCGCCAUUUAAAGUGGUACGCGAGCUGGGUUUAGAACGUCGUGAGACAGUUCGGUCCCUAUCUGCCGUGGGCGCUGGAGAACUGAGGGGGGCUGCUCCUAGUACGAGAGGACCGGAGUGGACGCAUCACUGGUGUUCGGGUUGUCAUGCCAAUGGCACUGCCCGGUAGCUAAAUGCGGAAGAGAUAAGUGCUGAAAGCAUCUAAGCACGAAACUUGCCCCGAGAUGAGUUCUCCCUGAGACUUAGAGUCUCCUGAAGGAACGUUGAAGACGAC
rnacentral:rRNA from 1 species